rnacentral:rRNA from 1 species
GAUGAACGCUGGCGGCGUGCCUAAUACAUGCAAGUCGAGCGAACAGACGAGGAGCUUGCUCCUCUGUCGUUAGCUGCCGACGGGUCAGUAACACGUGGCUAACCUACCUAUAAGACUGGGAUAACUUCGGCAAACCGGAGCUAAUACCGGAUAAUGUAUUGAUCCGCAGGGUUCAAUAGUGAUAGACGGUUCUGAUGUCACGUAUAGACGGAUCCGCGCCGCAUUCUCUAGUCGGUAAGGUAACGGCUUACCAAGGCAACGAUGCCUAGCCGACCUGAAAGGGUGCCCGGCCACCCUGGCACUGAGCCACCGUCCAGACUCCUGCGGGAGGCAGCAGUAGGGAAUCUUCCCCCAUGGGCGAAAGCCUGACAGUGCCCCGCCCCGUGCGUCAGGAAGGUCUUCGGAUCGUAACACUCUGUUAGUAGGCAAGACCAAAUGUGUCCGUAACUAUGCACGUCCUGACGGUACCCUGUCAGAAAGCCACGGCUACCUUCGUG